rnacentral:rRNA from 1 species
UACAGAGGUGGCAAGCGUUGUUCGGAAUUACUGGGCGUAAAGGGCGCGUAGGCGGUCUUGUAAGUCCCGUGUGAAAUCCCUCGGCUCAACUGAGGAACUGCACGGGAAACUGCUUGGCUUGAGUUCGGGAGAGGGAAGCGGAAGUUCCGGGUGUAGCGGUGAAAUUCGUAGAUAUUCGCAAGAACACCAGUGGCGAAGGCGGCUCACUGGCCCGGUACUGACGCUGAGGUGCGAAAGCGUGGGGAGCAAACAGG